UAAGUUCAUCACUGAUUUUCAGACUCUGUAAUCAAACUACGUAUAAAUUGUACAAAGUUUUUUAGAAAUAUUAUACUCCUCGGGAUAACUUAAUCUUGUUACUGUUAAUGGAUCGUGGAAUAUCAGCUUCACUUGAAAAUUUUAUCGAAAGAUACCGAUGUCUUUCUUUUAAAGACAAAAAGCUACGUAUUUUCAUCCUAUGGAUUAUGGUGUUGGCCUUAACAAGCUUUACGUCGCAAUGGCUCAAUUCCGAAAAGAGCACGAUGCCAAGAUCAGCAAAUGUUGAAAGUUUGAUUCAGCUGGUACUUUAAGCAAUACAUCUGAUGAGCUGUUGAAGGCAUGUGGCAUAAAAGGAGGGCAAGUUAUACGAAUCAAAAAUGCAUUGGCAACGAUUAACAACUUGGACAAACUUCUACCAGUAAGAAAUGUUCUAUCCACCAUUGAACCAUCCACCCAGAAGAUUGCUUUAUCCACUAGUAAUUUCUUUGCCAUAAAUAACAAUGUCAGCAAUUCUUCAGCGUCAAUUGAAGAAGCUCAUUUGUCAACAGGCACACCGACACCUACAACAUCCAGUACACCUCGACAUACCAUAGCAUCUGAUAAGAGUGAUCAACCUUCACCAAACUUUGUACUUGUGGAAGGAAGGAAACUGAACAAGAACUGGAUAAAAGAUUUUAAACUUCCUAUUUCUUUUUCUUCAAUGGUGAAUGAAACACUGCAAGCAGGAAAACUUAAUGGAAAACUUAGGGAUGAGUUUACUAGGGACAUUUGUUCUUCUAUUAAAGCUCAUACAAUGUUUCCAUCCAGAGAAGAAAAACAAAGAUUGGCGUCCAUGACUGUAGAAAAAUAUACUUUUCUUGUCCCUUCACUUGGAGCUGGUACAGGAUCAUGGUUGAAAGCAAUCACUAAUCGAUUAAAAACAUGCGUAUAAAGAAGACAAAUUCAACAACAAGAUCUGUUUGUGUGUCUCAAACUACACAAAGAAAAGCAGCCAGAAACAAAGAUGUUUCUAAGAUGUUUUAUAUAUUUAAUUAUAUAUAUACAUUUAACUUUACAUGUUUCAUAUAUUGACUUGUUUACAGUAUGUUUUAUGUUUUGUAUAUAUAUAUAUGUGUGAAUACAUGCAUAUAAAUCA